AUUGAACGCUGGCGGCAGGCCUAACACAUGCAAGUCGAGCGAGCGGCGGACGGGUGAGUAAUGUAUGGGGACUGCCCGAUAGAGGGGGAUAACUACUGGAAACGGUGGCUAAUACCGCCAACUAUCGGAUAACCCAUAUGGGAUUAGAUAGUAGGGGGGGUAAAGGCUCACCUAGGCGACGAUCUCUAGCCGGUCGGAGAGGAUGAUCAGCAACACUGGGACUGAGACACGGCCCAGACUCGUACGGAGGCAGCAGUGGGGAAUAUUGCCCAAUGGGCGCAAGCCUGCUACAGCCAUGCCGCGUGUAUGAAGAAGGCCUUAGGGUUGUAAAGUCCUUUCAUCGGGGAGGCGUUACCCGAAGAAGAAGCACCGGCUAACUCCGUGCCAGCAGCCGCGGUAAUAC
rnacentral:rRNA from 1 species